AACGAACGCUGGCGGCAUGCCUAACACGUGCAAGUCGAACGAGAUCUUCGGGUCUAGUGGCGCACGGGUGCGUAACGCGUGGGAAUCUGCCCUUUGGUUCGGAAUAACAGUUGGAAACGACUGCUAAUACCGGAUGAUGACGAAAGUCCAAAGAUUUAUCGCCAGAGGAUGAGCCCGCGUAGGAUUAGCUAGUUGGUGUGGUAAAGGCGCACCAAGGCGACGAUCCUUAGCUGGUCUGAGAGGAUGAUCAGCCACACUGGGACUGAGACACGGCCCAGACUCCUACGGGAGGCAGCAGUGGGGAAUAUUGGAAAAUGGGCGAAGGCCUGAUCAAGCAAUGCCGCGUGAGUGAUGAAGGCCUUAGGGUUGUAAAGCUCUUUUACCCGGGAUGAUAAUGACAGUACCGGGAGAAUAAGCUCCGGCUAACUCCGUGCCAGCCGCCGCCGUAA
rnacentral:rRNA from 1 species